ACCACCUGCCUAUUGAGUAGGUCCCACUUUUCCCAACCAAAACAGUAAUACACUGUGUGUUCUGACAACUUUCUAUCAGGAGUCUGAGCUACAGCAGCUCUUCAAUUGGAUUGGACUAAACGGGCUAUUUUUCACUUUCCAUCUGCAUCAGCGACCCAUCACCCUGUCACCGGUUCUCCAUCUUUGAACCACGAUUCGUAUGUCCUGACCAUUGCAGACCAGGAACAUCCCACAAGCUCUGCAGUCAUUUUAACAGUAUACAGUACUGUUUUCUAUUGAUGGGAAUCACCAGUGCCACCCGAUACGAUAUUAUCUCGAAACGUAGGUGCUGAUUCGACCUGUAUUGAUCUUCUAUACUGAUCCUGUGCUGCCUGCGAAUGUGGGAAUAGUUUAGAGUGUUCCAUCUGCAGGAUUAUAGAGGACCUGCAACAUUCUACCACCUCAAAUACGAACAAAUAAAUAAUAAUAUAAAAAAAAAGAUAAUACAAAUAAGAAAAUACAUUUUGUAGUUAGCGUGCCAAUACAUGAAUUACAACAAAAAAGAAGCACGAUACAACACUGAAUUAUUCUUUCCUCAUCUCUAAUGUUUUAAAGUUUUUAAUUGUUACACAUAAAUGUACAAACCUCUUGUGUAUUGUUUAAGUUAUUCAGAAAGAAAACAAAACAUCCCAAGAAUUUGUCCUUGAAUGUGUUUGCAC